CCUACGGGAGGCAGCAGUGGGGAAUCUUGCACAAUGGAGGAAACUCUGAUGCAGCGAUGCCGCGUGAGUGAAGAAGGCCUUUGGGUUGUAAAGCUCUUUUGUAGGGGAAGAUAAUGACUGUACCCUAAGAAUAAGGUCCGGCUAACUUCGUGCCAGCAGCCGCGGUAAUACGAAGGGACCUAGCGUAGUUCGGAAUUACUGGGCGUAAAGCGCGCGUAGGCCGUUGAGUUAGUUAAUUGUGAAAUCCCAAAGCUUAACUUUGGAACUGCAAUUAAAACUGCUCGACUAGAGUUUGAUAGAGGAAAGCGGAAUACAUAGUGUAGAGGUGAAAUUCGUAGAUAUUAUGUAGAACACCAGUUGCGAAGGCGGCUUUCUGGAUCAACACUGACGCUGAGGCGCGAAAGUAUGGGUAGCAAAGAGGAUUAGAUACCCUCGUAGUCCAUACCAUAAACGAUGAUCGCUAGAUGUUGGAAACUUUAUUUUCAGUAUCGCAGCUAACGCAUUAAGCAAUCCGCCUGGGGAUACGACCGCAAGGUUAAAACUCAAAGGAUUGACGGCUGAGAGNGCGAGCGACGACGAGGAGAG
rnacentral:rRNA from 1 species